rnacentral:rRNA from 1 species
GACAGAGGGUGCAAACGUUGUUCGGAAUUACUGGGCGUAAAGCGCGUGUAGGCAGCUCGGUAAGUCGGGUGUGAAAGCCCUGGGCUUAACCUAGGAAGUGCACUCGAAACUUCCGAGCUUAAGUUCUGGAGAGGAAGGCGGAAUUCUCGGUGUAGAGGUGAAAUUCGUAGAUAUCGAGAGGAACACCGGUGGCGAAGGCGGCCUGCUGGACAGUGACUGACGCUGAGACGCGAAAGCGUGGGGAGCAAACAGG